GAGAAAUUCUUCCUCCCUCUAUGUUUUGAAGUUUCCAAGUUUUAACUUCCAACUACCAGUUUAAGAGAUGAUGAUGCCGACAUCGAAUGUUGUCUUUGAACUAUAAAUUUUAACUAUACGGAUACGAUGGAAGGAUCGACAUCCACGCAAACUGCCAAACGAGAUGUUUUUCAUGCAUAUUGCACUGUAAUGCCUGAUGGUAAAAAAUUGAAGUGUAAUUUUUGUGAAAAGGAAAUAUCUUCAGGUAUUUCACGCAUAAAAUUUUAUUUAGCACAACAAAGAGGUACAGUUGCCCCGUGCAUGCA